GAUGAACGCUGGCGGCGUGCUUAACACAUGCAAGUCGAACGAAGCACUUAUCUUUGAUUCUUCGGAUGAAGAGGUUUGUGACUGAGUGGCGGACGGGUGAGUAACGCGUGGGUAACCUGCCUCAUACAGGGGGAUAACAGUUAGAAAUGACUGCUAAUACCGCAUAAGACCACGGAGCCGCAUGGCUCAGUGGGAAAAACUCCGGUGGUAUGAGAUGGACCCGCGUCUGAUUAGGUAGUUGGUGGGGUAACGGCCUACCAAGCCAACGAUCAGUAGCCGACCUGAGAGGGUGACCGGCCACAUUGGGACUGAGACACGGCCCAAACUCCUACGGGAGGCAGCAGUGGGGAAUAUUGCACAAUGGGGGAAACCCUGAUGCAGCGACGCCGCGUGAGCGAAGAAGUAUUUCGGUAUGUAAAGCUCUAUCAGCAGGGAAGAAAAUGACGGUACCUGACUAAGAAGCACCGGCUAAAUACGUGCCAGCAGCCGCGGUAAUACGUAUGGUGCAAGCGUUAUCCGGAUUUACUGGGUGUAAAGGGAGCGUAGACGGCUGUGUAAGUCUGAAGUGAAAGCCCGGGGCUCAACCCCGGGACUGCUUUGGAAACUAUGCAGCUAGAGUGUCGGAGAGGUAAGUGGAAUUCCCAGUGUAGCGGUGAAAUGCGUAGAUAUUGGGAGGAACACCAGUGGCGAAGGCGGCAUACUGGACGAUGACUGACGUUGAGGCUCGAAAGCGUGGGGAGCAAACAGGAUUAGAUACCCUGGUAGUCCACGCCGUAAACGAUGA
rnacentral:rRNA from 1 species